UCCGUAGGCGGGCAGCUAAGUCAGUGGUGAAAGUCUGCAGCUCAACUGUAGAAUUGCCAUUGAUACUGGUUGUCUUGAAUUAUUAUGAAGUGGUUAGAAUAUGUAGUGUAGCGGUGAAAUGCAUAGAUAUUACAUAGAAUACCAAUUGCGAAGGCAGAUCACUAAUAAUAUAUUGACGCUGAUGGACGAAAGCGUGGGGAGCGAACAGGAUUAGAUACCCGAGUAGUCC
rnacentral:rRNA from 1 species